rnacentral:rRNA from 1 species
AACCUCUAGUGAGUCACAGGGUGCCCGUACCCCAAACCGACACAGGUGGACAGGUAGAGAAUACCAAGGCGAGCGAGUUAACUCUGGUUAAGGAAUUCGGCAAAUUAGCCCCGUAACUUCGGGAGAAGGGGCGCCCCGGUAGGGUGUAGGACUUCGCGUCUGAAGCCCGAGGGGGCCGCAGUGACCAGACCCAAGCGACUGUUUACUAAAAACACAGCACGGUGCUAAGUCGCAAGACGAUGUAUACCGUGUGACGCCUGCCCGGUGCUGGAAGGUUAAGUGGAGAGGUUAGCCCUCGGGCGAAGCUUUGAAACUAAGCCCCAGUAAACGGCGGCCGUAACUAUAACGGUCCUAAGGUAGCGAAAUUCCUUGUCGGGUAAGUUCCGACCUGCACGAAUGGCGUAACGACUUGGGUACUGUCUCAACCAGAGACUCGGUGAAAUUGCAGUGUGAGUAAAGAUGCUCACUACCUGCGGCAGGACGGAAAGACCCCGGAACCUUUACUCUAGUUUGACAUUGGAGUCUGGCGUUCGAUGUGUAGGAUAGGUGGGAGCCUGGGAAGCGGUGGCGCCAGCCAUCGUGGAGGCAACGUUGAAAUACCACCCUUCGCUCGACGGCCUUCUAACCUCGGUCCGUUAUCCGGAUCAGGGACAGUGUCUGAUGGGGAGUUUCACUGGGGCGGUGGCCUCCUAAAGCGUAACGGAGGCGCCCAAAGGUUCCCUCAGUCUGGUCGGCAAUCAGACGUUGAGUGUAAAUGCACAAGGGAGCUUGACUGCGAGACUUACAAGUCGAGCAGGGACGAAAGUCGGGAUUAGUGAUCCCAUGGCGGCAUGUGGGUGCGCCAUGGCCAACGGCUAAAAGGUACUCCGGGGAUAACAGGCUUAUACCCCCCAAGAGUCCAUAUCGACGGGGGUGUUUGGCACCUCGAUGUCGGCUCGUCGCAUCCUGGGGCUGGAGCAGGUCCCAAGGGUCCGGCUGUUCGCCGGUUAAAGCGGCACGCGAGCUGGGUUUAGAACGUCGUGAGACAGUUCGGUCCCUAUCCGCCGCAGGCGCAGGAGAUUUGAGAGGAGCUGUCCCUAGUACGAGAGGACCGGGAUGGACGUACCACUGGUGUGCCAGUUGUCCUGCCAAGGGCACGGCUGGUUGGCUAUGUACGGACGGGAUAAGCGCUGAAGGCAUCUAAGUGCGAAGCCCACCUCGAGAUGAGAUCUCCCACGGGGUUAACCCGGUAAGGCCCCUGGUAGAAGACCAGGUUGAUAGGCCGGAUGUGUACGUGCAGCAAUGCAUUCAGCAGACCGGUACUAAUAGGCCGAGGGCUUGGAUUU